rnacentral:rRNA from 1 species
UACGAAGGGGGCUAGCGUUGCUCGGAAUCACUGGGCGUAAAGGGUGCGUAGGUGGCCAGGUAAGUUCGGUGUGAAAGCUCGGAGCUUAACUCCGAAAUGGCAUUGAAUACUAUCUGGCUAGAGGGUCGGAGGGGAGACUGGAAUUCUCGGUGUAGCAGUGAAAUGCGUAGAUAUCGAGAGGAACACCAGUGGCGAAGGCGAGUCUCUGGACGACUCCUGACACUGAGGCACGAAAGCCAGGGGAGCAAACAGG